CUCAUCGACCGGACACAGCAGUAUAUCACAAACCGCGAUCAGGGCGAUAAGGAAGACCCUGCAAGACCUGAGAUUAGUAGACGCAUGGAGAACCUUACACCCGACAGCCCGGGAUUAUACGCACUACUCAGCCAUACACAGGAGAUACUCACAUAUUGACUGCAUUCUCAUACAACAAGAAGGCCUGCAACCAUUGCAAUCGGCG